UGACAGUAGCUUUUCUCUACCCGAUAAUCUCAUAAGAAAAAAGCUAAAGGCAAUCGCCCUGUGCAUCGUGGUGCAAUUGUGGGCCAGGCCAAUUUAAUAAAAUGAUCGCAUUUCAACAAUGAAGAAGUAGCAUUUUUCUCGUUUUGGGAAGGGAGAUUAAACACGCCAUUUAGGGAAUAUUUCAAUCUUCGUGUACGCCCCCUCCUUCUCCUUCAACCUUUCUCUCCCUCUUCAUCACAUUCAAAGUGAACUCUAACCGAUUAUCUCUCUUCUCCGUCGACUGUACAUAGCGUUUCUGUCAAAUGUGGAAGCAAUAACAAUGGAAAUUUUCACUUGCCAAGGGUGCAGAGGCUUAACCCCCACAAACUUGUAUAAGUUGAACAAUAUUAGUAUGGGACGGAGCCACCCACCAUAUUCUCUGUUCUGUGUUUGCCUUAUACAUCUUAUUGAAAAGUUUCCUCUUUCUAUUUUUUUUUAAGAGCUUUGUGUUAAUUAUGCUAAUAACUUGUGAAUCAACUUCAUUUGCAUUUAUUUAUGAUCUGCCAAUUGAAUGAUUUUAAUUUUCUUCCUUUGCCUUUAUGUUACCCGCCACCGUGAAAUAUCGUUAAGUUUUUUGCAUUGGCUACUAUGAUGACGGGGGUGAGUUAGAACAAGGAGCCAUGGUAUUUGAGCAUGCAGCAAAUAGAAGCUUGCAAGAAAACUUGGCACAGAAAGGGAAUCGCCUUUGCUUUCGUGGAGAAGACGAUGGGAGGGAGAGGCAGAGGCAGAGCUGUCAUGUAAAGAAGGGAGAGCUUCGAGGGAGGAACAUGGGAAGAAGAAGAACUUCAUGCAGUCGGGAUGUGUGAAGAAGAAGACUCUGGUUUGAGACAGAGGAAGUAAGGGAUUUCUUGAAUGCGUCUUGUGAGGAAACCCAUGUAUAGAUUCACGGCUAAGAUGUCAAUGGAACAUCAGUUUCUGGCCAGUUUGGGCGAACAUGAUCAUGAAGUGAAGGAUGAAGGAUUGCUGGCUGUUCAAGAUGAAAAACUAGUGUCUACUCUAACUGAUUUUGAGCUUACUGAUUCAUCUAUUUCAAGUGAUUGGCUCUUGUUGUUCGAUGACUCUUCGUACUGUAGUUCUUGGCCUGAAGAAGAUGAAGACCUGGAAGUGCAAUGCCAUGGAAGAUCUGAUAAAAAUGAAUCUUUUGCAAGUUCUUUGAACGGCCUCACUUCAACCGGUUCUUGAGGUGCUGACCACGAUGACAUAAUUCAAAUAUUUAGAGUUUAGACCUUUAAACUUACAUAUAGAAGCCAUUCCUUGGGCAAAAGAUGUUGUAAUGCACGUGUUUGUAGAAUUUAGUUUCCUACUACAAUCUCUGUAGCCAUGUCGUUUGAUUCCCAAUUUUCUGUUGACUUGCGAAGUGGCUUCUAAGACAUUGACUCUGCCUUGCUCAA